UUGCAGUUAAAGCUCGUAGUUGGAUUUUGGUUAAGAGGGCGCGGUCGGCCGUUUGGUCUGUACUGCGUUGUCUUGACUUCCUGAUGAGGACAUGCUCUUGGUUAACGCUGAGACAUGGAGUCAUCGUGGUUACUUUGAAAAAAUUAGAGUGUUCAAAGCGGGCUUACGCUUGAAUAUAUUAGCAUGGAAUAACACUAUAGGACUCCUGUCCUAUCUCGUUGGUCUCGGGAUGGGAGUAAUGAUUAAGAGGAACAGUUGGGGGCAUUCGUAUUUCAUUGUCAGAGGUGAAAUUCUUGGAUUUAUGAAAGACGAACUUCUGCGAAAGCAUUUGCCAAGGAUGUUUUCAUUAAUCAAGAACGAAAGUUGGGGGCUCGAAGAUGAUUAGAUACCAUCCUAGUCUCAACCAUAAACGAUGCCGACUAGGGAUUGGUGGAUGUUAAUUGAUGACUUCACCAGCACCUUAUGAGAAAUCAAAGUUUUUGGGUUCCGGGGGGAGUAUGGUCGCAAGGCUGAAACUUAAAGGAAUUGACGGAAGGGCACCACCAGGCGUGGAGCCUGCGGCUUAAUUUGACUCAACACGGGGAAACUUACCAGGUCCAGACAUAAGUAUGAUUGACAGAUUGAGAGCUCUUUCUUGAUUCUAUGGGUGGGGGGGCAUGG
rnacentral:rRNA from 1 species